AGUCGAGCGGUAGAGAGAAGCUUGCUUCUCUUGAGAGCGGCGGACGGGUGAGUAAUGCCUAGGAAUCUGCCUGGUAGUGGGGGAUAACGUUCGGAAACGGACGCUAAUACCGCAUACGUCCUACGGGAGAAAGCAGGGGACCUUCGGGCCUUGCGCUAUCAGAUGAGCCUAGGUCGGAUUAGCUAGUUGGUGGGGUAAAGGCUCACCAAGGCGACGAUCCGUAACUGGUCUGAGAGGAUGAUCAGUCACACUGGAACUGAGACACGGUCCAGACUCCUACGGGAGGCAGCAGUGGGGAAUAUUGGACAAUGGGCGAAAGCCUGAUCCAGCCAUGCCGCGUGUGUGAAGAAGGUCUUCGGAUUGUAAAGCACUUUAAGUUGGGAGGAAGGGCAGUAACUUAAUACGUUGCUGUUUUGACGUUACCGACAGAAUAAGCACCGGCUAACUCUGUGCCAGCAGCCGCGGUAAUACAGAGGGUGCAAGCGUUAAUCGGAAUUACUGGGCGUAAAGCGCGCGUAGGUGGUUUGUUAAGUUGGAUGUGAAAUCCCCGGGCUCAACCUGGGAACUGCAUUCAAAACUGACAAGCUAGAGUAUGGUAGAGGGUGGUGGAAUUUCCUGUGUAGCGGUGAAAUGCGUAGAUAUAGGAAGGAACACCAGUGGCGAAGGCGACCACCUGGACUGAUACUGACACUGAG
rnacentral:rRNA from 1 species